GACGAACGCUGGCGGCGUGCUUAACACAUGCAAGUCGAGCGGUAAGGCCCUUUCGGGGGUACACGAGCGGCGAACGGGUGAGUAACACGUGGGUGACCUGCCCUCAGCUCUGGGAUAAGCCUGGGUAAACUGGGUCUAAUACCGGAUAUGACUCCGCGGUGCAUGCUGUGGGGUGGAAAGCCUUGUGCGGCUGGAGAUGGGCCCGCGGCCUAUCAGCUUGUUGGUGGGGUGANGGCCUACCAAGGCGACGACGGGUAGCCGGCCUGAGAGGGCGACCGGCCACACUGGGACUGAGACACGGCCCAGACUCCUACGGGAGGCAGCAGUGGGGAAUCUUGCGCAAUGGGCGAAAGCCUGACGCAGCGACGCCGCGUGAGGGAUGACGGCCU
rnacentral:rRNA from 1 species